rnacentral:snoRNA from 1 species
UCCCUUUUCCUGAUGAUCCAACAAUCAAUGCAUAGUUCAUCUGAGGUUCACGCCCAUGAAUGAAACAAAUUUAGCAAUGUCUUUCGCUCCUAUCUGAAUUUUA